AUUGAACCUAGUGUUGUCCCAAAUAUCGUACUUGAUCAUUUUAGGACGAAGCAAUUGGAAACCUAAAAUAUUACGAUUUACGAGAGAGAGAUGAGAGGUGCAGGAGGACCAUUGUUGUGCAUCGGAGAUCUGCUGUGUGACGUUGGAGAAGCUGAAGAUAAUCCCCUUAUUCAGACACCUUCUUCUUCUCCCCUUUCUGCUUCACCGUCUUCCUCCUCUGAUUUCCACCUCGAUUUCCAGCCUUCUCGCCUCACUCAACUUUUCCAGGAAAACUAUAACCAGUUGAACAAGGCUCUAGCUGGGACGGAUCAUUCAUGGACUUCUUUGACAUUGAAGCUGUGUACUGCUCUAGAUACUGCAAAGAACUUGAUACAGUCUGCCAACUCAAACGUCACAGUGCUGUCAGAGAACAUUGCGGAGCUUGAAAAGAUAAUCAAGAAAGAGGAUUCUACUAUAGCAGAGGUCAGGUCCAUUCAUAGCUCAUUGAACCUAGGGAUUCCUCCAUCAACUCACAGUGAAACCUAAUCAUAACUCAAUAAGUAUCAAUCUGUUGUCAACCGUAAAGCGUAUACCAACUUGUGCCCCUUCAGAUUGUUUUGUGGGGAUUGAAGGGGCUAAGUAGAGGAAGUUGUAAGGGUGCUGUACGCCUGUACAUCUAUGGUGAUUAUAUGGUGUAUGCCUAGGAUGGAAUUCACAUACGAGUAUCUUUUUGAGAUCCUCUUAGCUAUCCAACGUGCUUUGGGCUUAACCACCUAGCUGUGUUGUGGAAGGGAAAUAGCAAUAGAAGGGAUUUUCUCCAUGCCACAUCCUCAAGUCACAAAACUGAAUCUCUAGAACCUUUUCGUUUUUGUACAUGAAACAAUUGAGAGCUGUAGUUGGGAGUCAUUACUGCUGAAUUGCUGAUGAGUGAUGGCUACUACAGCCAUUAGCUUCAAUAAAUAUUGUAUGCAGUGAGCCAGUGAGGAGGCCACGAUGCUUCUAAUUUGGUUUAUAGAAGGGGCCGUCACAGUAUCUCUGCCCUAAUCUCACCAUAAUGGAUUAUCAAACUCAAUGUGCAGGAAAUGUGUUUGCUAAUGUUGGCUUGUAUUCUAUAAUUAGUGUUGUGCAACAAAUGCUUUUUCCAAUGUUGGCUUGUAUUGUAAUAACUGGUGUUGUAUUUUAGAUUGCGAAAUAUUCAUUUGGUCUCAGGAGUCAGAAUCACUUCAA